rnacentral:lncRNA from 1 species
CCUUUAGGCAAUACCUAAAACAAGAAAGUGUCGACAAGAAAAGGAAAGAGUUUGAUACCAAUGGCUGGCAGCUCUUCAGCAAGAAAAGCCAGGAAAUCCCACAGCAGAUGAAUGGAAGUGACUGUGGAAUGUUUGCUUGCAAAUAUGCCGACUGCAUUACCAAAGACAGACCAAUCAACUUUACACAGCAACACAUGCCAUAUUUCCGGAAGCGAAUGGUCUGGGAGAUCCUCCACCGGAAGCUCUUGUGAAGACUGUCUCAGUGAGCAGACACUGAGCGUGUGGGGGACCAGCCUUUGCCAUCGACAGCCAGAGAGCUUGGAGACAGCCGCUCCUAACCCCUGUUCUGUACAGCCCUUGGUCCUGGGCCAGACCAGGCAAGACGCACUCACAAGCACACCUGCCUUCCUUUUGUAUCUCAGAUACUAUUUUUGCAAAGAAACUCUGGUGCUGUGAAAGGGGUGAGGGACAUCCCUACUGAAGAGAGAGGCUGCUUUUCACUUCAGCUCUGCCGUCUUGUUUUCCAAGGGCUCCAGCCUCACUGAGUCCCUCAUUAGGAGUCCAAGGAAAACUGGGGAAGAAUCUUGGUUUCAUGUAAACUCUUGUUGCUAGACCUUACCGAGAAGUAGGAAAGGGCACGGCAGCAGGUAGGAUAAAACCACCAGCGCCGUAGUCAUACACGCAGUCCCUAGGAUGCAGGGUCACAAAUGGAACUGUGAACUGGACUCUGAGGCACACGCUUAAGUCCCCUCCUCCAGAGCCUUCCUAUUUAUGUGCCCUCCAUGAAACUGACUGCUUCUCCUCAAGGCUGUUUCCUCACUGGUCGAGUCCCAUCCUGAGCACACUGCACAAGCCCCGGCAGACCCUAAAGCCUCGAGCAGGCCUUUCCUCACAGGCGGGGGUUGCAUGUGCGAGCAGGCCGUGCUGUGGGGAGAGCCACCCAGGAGUGUUGAGUGCAGCAGCCAGGGCCCAGCUUCACUGCUGCCUGCUGCUGACCAAGAAGUGGGACUUCAGUGGUCAGAGUCACAUGCCAGAGUUGGAUGAGUACAGGUCUAGGGUGUCUGUGGCUAGUUAGUUUAAAUAUGUUUCUAACCACAGAGAGUUUUAUAUACAUAUAUACCUAUAUGUGUGUAUACAUACAUAUAUAUACACACACAUAAAUGUGAAAUAUAUAUUUCACAGGGAUAUGCUUUUAAAAGAAAAAAAGACUGAAUGUGUUCACCAUUUAGUCUGUAGGUUUAUUUUCAUCUUUCAAACUCCAGCACACAGAGAUCCCAGCAAGCCCUGUUUAUGGGCAUUUGUAGAUUUCCUAAGAGUAUUUUGAGACCUGGAUGAAUCUGGUUUAGGAGUAAAGGUUAUCAAGGUAAAUGACAUUGCCAGCUGAAGAACGGGUGGAGCUUAGCUUGAUAAACUUGAGGUUUUUAAACUGCUCUUUCCUUCGUUGUUUGUAGCACCUCUCCCGCCCUCGCAGAGCUCCUGAGGUGAGAUGGUGAGGUGACAGUGCCAGUGUCGUUUUGUACUUAAGUUCCACUACAGGGACUUUUUCUACUUUGUGUAUGGUGACCGGUAGUUUUCUAUGCAGUCUUCUCCCCGCCGCCCCUGUGCCCAGCCCUUCCAGCACUGUGCUCUCUCCUUGGGCUUAAUUGGAAAUUGUACUCUGUUUUAUACCAAGCCUGUUUAGUACAUUUUUCUAUGUUUUACCACAAGUUACAAUUUGAAAACAACAACUAUUUUUUUUACUACGCCAUUGUUAAAUGAAUGUUCGGUCUCCACUCCAGCAGCCUCCCUCCCUGCAUGUUGGGGGCCGGGGCCUGUACCUUAGUGUUUCUCUCUCGCUGCUCCUUCCUCACUCCUCCUCCCUUUUCUCUUGAUUUUCCAUAGGAAAUAAAUAGCUUUCUGUAUAUGA